ACGCAUCACAAUCCAAACCAACAUAAAUAUGCACAAUAUGUUGUGUUUGAUUAUCUUGUACAUGCAAAAAUAAAGUAGAAAACUGCUACGGCCUGCGUGCAGGCACACAACUCCACCCGCACACCUUCUCUUUCCCGCGUGCAUUCCCUUUUUCCUCGUGUGCUCCCUUGCAGCCUUAUCAUUCUACUGGCUCUGAUGACGUCUAUGUCACAUCCGCUGCUGCCCUCGACCCCCUCUAGAUCUGACAUUUUUCCCUUAUUCUUUAGUGGGUGCCCACUGCCCCGCCGCCUCGCCGUGGCGCGGUAGGGUCUUGUUGGAGCUUUGGGGCAGACUCCUUCUCCCCCACCCUCCAGCUGCUACCAUGGCCAUGGGCGCCUCCGUCCCGACUUUUCCCGGCUGCCUCCUAUGCCACCGAAACCCUAAUUACCCCCUCCUCCUGUCAUCCCUACCGUCUAGCUGACCUGCCUUCCCGAGCCCCUUCUAAACCUGUCGGAGUUGAGGAAGAAGAGAGGGAGAGUCGAAGAGAGAGAGCACUGAACCCACCACUGCCCAAACCCUAGUUGUUGUCGUCUUCUUCUUUGUCAUCGCAAGCAUGGUCAGGUGUGGAUAAGUGGGAGCGGUCCGAUUGUGAAUGGACGAUGGAUCAGCAUGUGCAGGAUGUUGAAUGAAAUCCUGCACGCUCAGAAAGAAGCAUUCCCAAAUAAAGUAAGAUUUGUUUUUGUUCAUCUACAUGUUCGGUUAAACUAUAGAGGCGAAAAUUCUUUUUUUAUGAACCCCAUCAAUUUGUGCAAGUCUACAUGUUUUUGUUCAUCUACAUUACCUAAUACAAUCAAAUCUAGUUUACUAGCUAAUGCAGCAUUAGAUUUGCUUUAAACACUCUACAAAUCUGUAUAAGGGGCUCUACGGACAACCGAAUACGCCUAAACAACACUUCAAAAGCGCUAUGAGCACCAUAUAAAUCUAUACAAGAGCCUAUGCAGGCAACAAACACAGGUAAAUUGAACUACAAAUGCUAGGAUAUAGGCAACCGAACGCACCCGUACUACUCGGAUUUCUCGUGCUUUGAACUUCAUGUAGAAAUAUAUAAAUCGAUAAAAAAAAAACCGUCACCACUAAGGCUGAUGUUACUAGCAUUGACCAACAAGGAAAGCUAGCGAAGUCACAAUCAACUGCAAAUCAAGACACCAUCUAUCUCCACACAUGCAAGAUGCAGCAAACAAAUAGGUGACCAUAAAAAUAUAACCUAAACAACAACGGUGGAAUAUAUGCAAAUUGUAAAACAGGUUGUCUUUGGAAUGCAGUAUCACCCCCUCCUGUGUUUUUACUGUGAAAAUGGCCUGAUUCCUUUGUUCCAUAGGUCCGUAAUACAGAAUGAAACAGUGGAAUAUAAUACUAAAAAAGACGAUGCAAAGUGUGCAAAAUCAAUCAAUACCCACGUAUCAAAAUGCACUUGAGCUUCCGUACCUCAGAAUAGAAACCAUAUGUUAUGUUAUUGGUAUAAUAACAUGCUCACUUGGAUAUCAAGAUUAAAAAAAUGAUAAAGGAGCUCAAGGUACAACAUUCAGACAAAGCAACAAAUCCCAUAUUGGUUCUGUUCUCCUGAAGAUUCCUUCAACAAUCAAGAAUAAAAAACACUACUUGCACAAAAAAGAGUAUUUCAACAAAAGAAAUCAAUGAAAGAUGUAACAUGUAGCAAAUUAAAAUUCAGAAAUACCAAACAUUGGACACAUUAAAUUUCAUGCCAUCUAAGCUAGAGAUUCUGUUACCCUUCAACUUCUAAGCAGAACAAUAGACAGCUCUCCAGGAGAUUGAUAUCUAAGUGAUAUAGGCAUGCAAGUUGAAUUUCACAAAACUGAAAAUGGCUACACUGUAAAAACUUCUGCAUAAUAUACAUAUAGAAUAACACAGGGCAAGCUACAACCAUGAAACCUAAGGCAGCCUGACCGUUAAAAAACUUGUUUGUGUCAUGCUUAGCCCAAAAGGUCCUCAAACUUCAAAAAACCAAAAUAAUAUGUUCAAAUAAGAACAUGAUCCUCUUUUGGGGGUUUCUUCCCCUAGUACUCUCUUUUCUUCUUAAUGAAAUGAUACACAGCUCUCUGACAUGUUUGAGGAAGAAAAGAGAGAACAUGAUCCAAUCACCACAUCUGCAUAACUAUUAAACUUUAUCCUAGCUAUUAACAUAAUCACAGAAAUGUUAGAAAAAGAAAACUAUCCAAAACACACACGAAUCCCAUAAGCUCUGAACUAAAAGAGAAAGCUUAAUGAUGUAUUAUACCAACUUACCUAUGAAAGAAAACUAGAACCCCAGUAGUUCAACCAGAUUAAGCAAACAACUUAAUUCCUUUUGCAUUUCCCUGCAGUGGAUAACAAUUACAAAAACAACUAACCGGAUGAUUACUUAGUUUUGUUGCAUCCAGAUAUCAAUUCAACAAACCAGGAACCAAAUCAUAAACAUAUCGACUAAAACAGAGCCUCUUCAUUAAGCAUAUACAAAUAACAACCUGCACAGAACCGAACUAAUUACAAAUUUUCAAAUACUGCAUUAUAAAGAUCCAUUUGUCAUACAGUUGGAAAUCUGCUGCACCAGUCGAAUUGUUCAUUCAAGCUUCAUAACCAUAUUUCAACACCUGAACACUUGAUGUAAAAUGUUUUGGAAAAGACACUUAUCUCAAUGCCAAAGCAAUUAAAUUUGACUUCUCAACCAUUUUUGACAACCACAACACUAAGAUAUGGUCCUAGCCUCCUAGGCUCAAGGAUAGCCUCUUUAUUCUAACAUGGAUUAUGGAACCAUAGCAACCAAAUACCAUAAAAAAAGUUAAGCACAACCUCCACAUAACCUUUCUGAAGAAAUACUACUUCCUCAGACUGCUGAUAUAAUUCCAUCUGGUCUUGUCCUAAGUCAAACCUGUUGAACUUUAUCUAGCAAUAUUUACAUAAAUAUAUCUCAAACAUAAAGACUUAUAGAUUACGAAAGUAUUUGUUAUUGUGAAUCUAGUAGUGUGAACCUUAUGUUGCCAAUCUAAAUAAAAUGCUAGAUAUUAGUGGUCAAAGUUAAAAAAAAGUUCGACUUACGACAAGCAUAGAUGGACUUAUGUUUAUGAUGGGAGGAAGUAUAUGCCAACCAGCACUUUGACAAGAAAAUAGAUGAACUAAAACCAAAGUUCUAUAAACAUUUCACGGUGAGCAAGAAGGCCAGAAACGACAAUAUUUGCUUUUGCACAGACUGCUGGAGGUAUGAAGAUGUGGUCAAAGAUUUAGUUUCUUAAAUCCGUUGAGUAUGAAUUGUAAGACAUCAAAUACAUAAUAUAAGUACUUCAUAAACACAACUUAAAGAUAUGCCAUACAAUAAGUUAACACUUAACCAGCUUCUCACAAGUUAUACCGGUAAGAGCAGUGUGAUCAGGGGUCUCCCCUUGCCAUUUUGCAUUCAAACCCUAGUACAACUUCUUAUUGCAAUGCCAGGGAGUGUCACCCCCCAGUGGUCAAGUUUAUUUUAAUAUGUUAACAGUUAUUUCCAAAAAAAGGUGCUGGUAAAUGUCUUCCAGCAGACAAAGACACAAAUCCUCCACAUAAUGCCAUUACUUCCACACAGAUUUAAUUAAUGCAAUGAAUUUCAUGCCACCUAAAUUAGAGACUAUUAUGGUUACACUAAAUUUUGCAAAGUGAAGGAUACAGACAUACUUCAAUUGGGUCAACAUCUGAAGCUCAAAAUAAGCAUGAAAAUUAGUUUUUGAAACUGAACAUGGCUACAAACUAAUCCUACAGAUUCUGCAGAUUGGCACAAAAACAUACAAGCAAUAAAUCAGGCCUAACUACAGCUCUACAACCAGUGGCGGAUCCAGGAUCACCGAUUUAGGGUGGAGGGGGGGCACUUCUCUUUCUCCUCAUCUUCCUCCAUUUUUUCACUUCUUCAUCCAUGCAUAAAAUUGUUGGGGACUCCAUUUUCCGAGCAGGUGUAGGGGGCUCAACCUCCCCCAGCACCUACGCUGGAUCCGACCUGCUACAACCUACAAAGCGACAAACAUAGCAUGCCUAUUUCUUUACCUGAUCGUUACAAACUUAUUUGUACCAUGCUUAGCCCAAAACGUCUUCAAGUUAAUUGGAUUAGCAAGGUUGUACCCUUCACCAGCCAGCUUCUCAAGCACCUUUUUGAAUGCACCAUGGCUCAUCUUCCUUCCAGAAAUACGUGCACCCCGGCGCUUUGUGCUCAUUGGAAGUGGAUACAUAGAUAUAGAAGUUGUGCAGCAUGCAGACUGCCAGCCACCUGCACCCCACCGGUAGCAUUGCUGGGGAGAUCCGGUGCACGAGCAGACUGGUGUUGGUAUGUUGGCAAGGUCCAGCUCAAUACCAUUAAUCACCAUCCCCACAGUCUUCUUAGGUCCCCUCCUUCGGGGCGCAUGCCCAUUGGGUGCUCCAUCCUCCACUGGAACAGCAGCCUUCUUAGGCUUUUUAGGCUUUGGUGACUUAGGCUGCCGGUUCUGCUGCCGGCCCCGCUGCCUCUUUUUCACAGGUGGCCCGGUACUAACUGCAGUGUGAUCCUCUAUCAGUGGAGGUGGCGCUUCCUCUUCCUUACAUGGAGGAGGCUCCUGAAGCUGUGUCUCAAGCUGUGGUUGCAUCAUCUGGAGAGUAUGCUGUGCAUCUGAUAUCAUCUCAUAGCCAGUAGGAUGGUGAUGCACAAUAUGUCCACCAUGCGCAGGAUGGCCACCAUAGCCUGGAUGACCAACAUGUCCAUCUGGCCCAAUAGGGCGAGAAUGAAGGACCCUCUGCUCACGGGGACGUUGGUGGUGGUGUGGCUGGUGCAACCAAGCUUCAUUGCGUGAGAAGUCCAUGUGAAUAGGUUGCGACUCGGUGGGCAUGCCACCAGAGGCUCGACCACCAGCGGGGCCACGGGAAUGUAGCGAGUGCUGCAUGUGGAGCUGGUGUGGGGCAUUGUGGUGUCCAUGGUGCUGCAAGAAGGCACCGUUCGGGAGCAGUGACUUUGUGUCCCGGUCAGGUGGCGCAGACGACAUGAGCUGCAGGCCGAGGUUGCCUUUGACAGUGUCAUAGAAGCCCCAAUUCCGAAUGCCUAGGCUGCCAUCAUCGUCGUCCAUCUCUGAUUUGUCAGAACAGCAAAUCCACCUUCAAAGACCGCAAUAAGGAGCAGAAAAAUCCAACCUUCUCGCGGUUCUGAUCAGCUCAUCUGCGGAAUCAGCAAUCCCUACACACACCCAUUUUGACAAUCAGACCAGACCAUAAGAAGCAGGUCUAAAAAUACAAAAUCGCAGGACAUUGUAACCAACCGCUCGUGGGGAGAGGAGAAGGGCAUGGUCGGAGAUCUCUGGGUGGACCCCACUUAGUUCUGGCGGGUGCGAAGGAAGGGCUGGACCUUCGGCGAACUAGAAGAUAAGGGAGGACGCCGACAAAGGAGAAGACGAGGCAGGGGAUCGUCGGGGGAGGAGAAGGGAGUGGAAUCCGCUCCCAGAUCUCAGACGCACUAGCUUUCGGCGGAGAAGUGGAGGGGCUAGGGGAGAAGUGGAGGGGCGCCGGCGGCCACUGGAGGAGGAGAUGGAGCGUCGGUGCUGGCAGGGGGUGCGGGUGCGAGCGGAGAAGUGCCUGCUCCGGCGGAUCUGGGCGGAGGUCUGCCUCGUCGACUCGGGCUUCGAUUCGCUUGGGAAGGAGAAAUUGGCUGUUUUGCCAGCGCCAAGAGUGGGUUUCGCCCAAAUGCCAUUAAGUUUUUGGGCUUCGCCCGUUUGCCAGCGCCAACCAUCGCUCUCCCGCUGAAAUGCCCUGAGGUCCGAAUUCACUGUUGAGGCCAUAUUUCUUACCCGUUUUACCCUUCUCCCUUUCCUCUUCAACUUUCACGGUCACGGACAGAGAACGGCGUUGACGCAAAAAUAUCCUCGCUCCCGUCCUCGAGCUGGCCCUUCCGUCCUUGGUUCCCGCCGCCGCCGGAGAUCUCCCGCCAGACGCCGCCGCCGCCCGCAGAGCCCGUCAGUCCGCGCUAAGGUGAGCCUGGACCUUCGCAUUGUGUGGAUUGAUUUGUGGAUUUCGUGGGUAAAGUGUUUACCUAGGGUUUGUCUCGGGUUUGACAGGGGUGAGAUGCAGUGACUCUACUUGCUAUGGAUUGCAAUCGGAAUGAUCUAGUGACAGGGUAUGGUGCAUCGUUAUUUUCUCGUUGUGCAUAUCAGAAACAGCAGAGCCAUCUCGUGUAGUGUUCUAACUCUCUAAUCGGUUUUUUUAGGCUCGAUCUGGAGCCUGAGCUUAGUUUAGUGGCUGUAGAUGCUGGCAUACCAGAACAGCAGAGCCAUCUCGUUAACUGGGAUGAACUACAGAUUGAGGAAAGGCUAGAUGAUGAAGGGGAAGGAAGGAUAGAAGUUUUCGAUGAGGAUCAGGUGUAUCGUCUUCUGGGUCUUAGAACCGAUGACGAUCCUGAGCAAAGUGCUGCUGAUGCUACUUCAAAUGCUGAUGAUGCUACUGCAAACAAUGGUGGUACAGUCCCUGAUGUCGAUGCUAGAGGUGCAGGUAUCCCUGAUGUUGAUACUGGAGGUGCAGCUAUCCCUGAUAUUGAUACUAGAGGUGCAGCCAUCCCUGUUGAUGAUGCCAUACCAGAGGAGAGGGUGCUGGUAUACGACCCAAACAAACCAUGCAUGGAUCUUGGCACUGUGUUCCCCAGCAUGGUCGAUUUUAGAUUGGCUGUGAGGCAGUUCGCUAUCAAUAAACAGUUUGGACUACAUACUGCGAAAACUGACAAAGAGAGGUUUAUUGGGACGUGCCUGGGAGAAGUUUGCCCAUGGCGUAUUAAUGCUCGUAAACUGCCUAAUUCAAAAACUGUUAUGGUAUAAUUUCUUUUUUUUUGCUAAAUUUUCUAUUUGCAUUCCUUUUUUUGAGUUCUGGAUUUGUUUUCUAAUUUUUUAUUUUUGCAGAUUACAGCUUUGACUGACGAACAUAACUGCACUUCCAGUGCGAGGAGAUUGACUACUACACCCACUGCUGCCUGGGUUGCUACAAGGGGGAUGAAGCAUCUUAGGAGGGACCCAAGUAUGGGCGCAACUAAACUACGGGAAGUGCUGGAAGAUGAACACAAAUGCACAAUUGGAUAUGACACCGUGGCAGAUGGGAGGAAUAUUGCACUGAAGAAACUGCAUGGCGCUUGGGAGGAUAGCUUCCAAUUGCUGUACAAUUGGAGGGAAGAGGUUCUGAAGCACUCACCAAACAGUGUCAUUGAGAUCGACACCCUGGAGGUUGAUGGCAAGGUAUACUUUUACAGGUUCUUUUGUGCUUUGAGUCCUUGUAUUGAGGGUUUUUUAGAGGGCUGCAGACCUUACCUUAGUAUAGACUCCACUGCAUUGAAUGGUAGGUGGAAUGGACAUUUAGCAUCAGCCACUGCUUUAGAUGGAAAUAAUUGGAUGUACCCUGUUGCAUUUGGCUUCAUAGAUGGUGAGACAAGUGAUAAUUGGGAAUGGUUCAUGACUCAGUUGAAUAAGGCCAUAGGAGACCUUCCUCAGCUUGCAAUAUGCACUGAUGCAUGCAAAGGCCUAGAGACAGCUGUAAAGCAAGUGUUUCCUCAUGCUGAACAUAGAGAGUGUUUUAGGCAUCUUAUGAAGAAUUUCUUUAAGAAGUUUGGGGGUGAUUCUUUUUCUAAGAUGUAUCCUGCAGCUAGAGCAUAUAGAACUGAAGUAUUCCAAUAUUUCUUCAAUCAUGUUAAAGAUGCCAGUGAUGAAGUGUUGCCAUGGCUUGACAAUCAUCAUAAAUUUUUAUGGAUGAGAAGUGCAUUUAACCCUAUAUUCAAGUGUGAUUACAUAACCAACAACCUUGCUGAAUGUUUUAACAAUUGGAUUAAGGACUGGAAGGACCUUCCUGUUUGUGAGCUUGCUGAUAAAAUUAGGGAGAAGUUAAUGGUACUGUGGAGGAAGAGAAGGCAGAUUGGACAAAAGCUUAAUGGGAGGAUUUUACCAACAAUCAUUCGUCAGUUGAAAAUGAAAACCAGAAACUUGGGUCACUUGACAGUUAUCAGCUCUGAUAGUAUUGCUGCAGAGAUAUGGGAAGUGAAUACCAUCCAUAACAGGCAUGUAGUGAGGACUUAUCUCCAUGAGUGCACAUGCAUGGAGUGGCAACACACUGGCAAGCCAUGUCAGCAUGCUUUGGCUUUGAUUACAGCUCAAGAAACUGUGGAUGUGGAUCUUGAGCCAUUUGUCCAUGAGUAUUUUUCAGUUGAAAAUUUCAGAAAUGCAUACAAGAGAUUAAUAGAGCCACUGCCAGAUAAAACUCAGUGGCCACAAGUGCAACUUGCAUCUAGAGUUGAGGGACCAUUGGACAAAAAGGGUGCUGGGAGAUACAGGAAGCUGCGGAUAAAGGGUUGUCUUGAAGGAGGAAGUGGUGGCAAAGGGAAAAAGGCUGCCAAGGAGGCUGCCAAGGAGGCUGAUAAUGCUGCUGCCGAAGAGGAGGCUAUGCAAGCUGGUAAACCUAAGAGGCAAUUAAUACGAGGGCAAAGAACGUGCAAGGGGUGUGGAGAAUUAGGACACACUGCAUCCAGCUACAAAUGUCGGCUAAAUGGGACCAAGAAAAGGUACAUUCUAGUUUCUUUCUAUUAUUAUUUCGUUUUCUAACAAGCUACUAUCCAUUAUUAAUAUGUUGUAACUAACAGGAAGAGGAACCCUAGGACAAAUACUACCAAGUAUGGGAAGAACGGGGAAAGGAAGUCAAGUCAAAAAGCUCCUGUGCAUGCUCCAGUCGAACAAGAAAAUGCUCUUAUGCAGCCUGCUGUGCAUCAAGAAAGUGCUCUAGUGAUUCCAGAAAACACUCCUGUGCAUCAUCCUUUGCAUCAAGAAAGUGCUCUAGUGAUUCCAGAUGUUGCUCCUGUGCAGCCAAACAAUGUCGCUCAAGCUGAAAAUGAUGUGCCAAGUAAACUUGCAGAAAUACUUGGAGGAGGGACAAGUACAUUGCUAAAUCGUUUUUCGCCAAAGAAGCAAGCUAGAACUACACCAAAACCAAGGAAGAAGCCUGCAAAUAUACCAAUUGGGAUGCUAGUGAAGAAGUUGACUCCAAGGAAGCCGAAGACAACCUGAGAUGUCAUUUAUUAUCUGAACCUAUGUAUCAUGUUAUGUUAUCUGAACCUAUGUAUUUUGCUUCUGUUAUCUGGACAACCUGCUCGAUGAACUUGUGUUGCUGUAACUUAAAUGGUACCUAUGUGUUGCGUGAACCUUUAUGAAAUCUAUUAUAUUUAUGGAAUAUUAUUGAGAUCAUGAAAUUGUGCCAAAAUAAGAAGGGACACAUGAUUUCCUGCAAGGAUUUUCUUCAUUGCAAAGUCAUGGUGGCAUUACAUUGAGUCUCCAUUACAACACACGCUUCACUUGAGAAGCAUAUAGGCAACUAAAACACCAAUCACGACACCUACACAUCCCACAAAAGCUACCUUCAGAUUCCACACUUCAGUUACAACACUGUCAAUUCUUUGAUUCAACAGUUUAACUUCAUCUUUCAUCUCAGAGCAACAGCCACGGGCAGAUGGCUCAGCCUCCAGUCCAUGUUCUUGUGCUUCUGACUUAACAUUCUGCACAUCAGGGCGAAUGUAACCACAAGUAGUUGGAUCACCCUGUAAUUCAAAUAUUUCAAUCAGACUAGUAGCAAAACAAACAACAAAUAGUGAGAACAAUGGGGAGAAUCCGUACCCAGAUGUUCUCAGAGCACUUGACAAACCACUUCCCAUACGUAUUCGGCUGAUGGCUCUGGAUUCGGACCAAUGAACCAACAUGGCAUUUGGGGCACUUACCACUGCAGCUUGAGCCAGCAGAGGUUGACUUCAUCGGAGAUCCCAUGGCGACGAGCGGACGGGGCUAGGGCUGCAGCAGCCGACUGGGCGCGGUGGCGUAGGCUAGCGCGGACGGGGUCGUCAGCGCCGGCGGUUGGCGCGGACGGGGGCGGCGGAGGAGGCUAGCGCGGACGGCGGCCGUCGGGGUCGUCGGCGGCGGCGGCGCACGGACGGGCCGGCUCGAUGCGUGGCGAGGAGCAAGCAAGUGGAUUUGGUCCGUUCUCUGUCCGUGACCGUGAAAGUUGAAGAGGAAAGGGAGAAGGGUAAAACGGGUAAGAAAUAUGGCCUCAACAGUGAAUUCGGACCUCAGGGCAUUUCAGCGGGAGAGCGAUGGUUGGCGCUGGCAAACGGGCGAAGCCCAAAAACUUAAUGGCAUUUGGGCGAAACCCACUCUUGGCGCUGGCAAAACAGCCAAUUUCUCCUUGGGAAGAGAGGCUUCGACUCGAACCAAGGGAAACAAUAAAAGCCGUAGGCAUGCAGCCUUUUCUUGUAGGCCUCAGCCUCUAAAACGACGUUUUCUUUGGAACAACGCCCAAACGCUAGGACGACAUUUUUAUUGGGACGGAGGGAGUAUAUUUGUAAUGGAUAGGUCAGAUCUAGAUAUAAACUGCUUCAGUUAGAGUUUGGGGAUGCUCGGUUCAGCACAGAAGGGAGGGAAUGGGCAAGCGAAGGGGCGGUCUCACCUGGUGAUGUUCGUCGCCGGCGAAGGACCCGACGAACAAGGUCAGCGCCGCUCACCCAGUCGUCGACGAAGGGGGGGUUUGGGGGUGGUCAGAGCACGGGAUGCGAACGGGAUCCUCUGCUAUGUGCUACGCCGCCGUGCCGUCGUUGGACCUCCCUAUCCGCCGCCCGGUCACCGCCGAAUGCCCACUUCUCUGAGCAAUUCCGCAUCGUAUUCGUAUAGCUAGCUAGCCUUCCUUAGCUGCUCACACGCAGCCACGCAGGGCCCAGUGCACACCUACGUACUAGGUGCCACAACGACGGCCCAAUAAGUCGCCAAAAAAAAUUGGGUUUUUUUAUCUAAGCCAUUACAAUUCUUCGAAGUUGGAGAAAUGCCAUUACAAUUCGGGUAUUUCAAAACAUGCCAUUACAAUUCUCAAUCUCCCUGAUGAUUGCCAUUUUCUACCUAGACAAGCUGACUAGGCCCACUGUCAGGCCGAGAUACGCAUACACAACUAGCGUAUGGACACCGAUGCCCCUGCCUUCCUGCGUUUAGAAGCCGCCGCGGCUCGGUCUUCUUCUACGACAUUCCCCAUCCGUCUCCUCUCAUCUUCCUCUUCUUCUGUUCCCUCUGAACCCUAACCCUAGACUGUAGCCGCCGUCGAAGACCUGCGGAGCUCCGACGCGAGACCUGCGGAGGUGGAACGGUGGUGGGGAGCGGCUGGUGGUGUCGUGUCUGUGGCCGGCGCAUCCACUGGAUGAGAUGCGGGAUCCAUGAAGACGAUGGGCGGGGUCUUCCUGCUGCGCCAUAGUGCUGCGAUGGAGAUGGAGGACUGCAACAGCAGGUAAUGUGUGUGCAUCCCCUGUUAUCAAUUUGAGCAUGUAGUGUAGUUGACUUGUGCUUACCAAUUUACACUUCGAUUUGGGACUCGAUUUGAUUGUUGAUAGGAAUGGUAUGUUCGCGGUAGAGGUUAAAGUCCACGGAUUCGCUACGAAAGACUCAGAUGGUAGGAAAUCAUAUACUAAAGGCACCAUGAUUAAGUGAGAUGUGGAGUUUGGGUCUGUAACGCUUGAACUGUUGCUGUCAAGUAUUGCAAAUGAAUUGAAUGUGCCUUCUAACCAGUUACCCACAGUGUGGUUCUUUGAUAAAAGACUGCACGAGGAUAUUUGUUGCCUUGAAGCCAUGCAUUGAUGGGUUCUUGGCUGGUUGCAGACCAUUUAUUGGUUUAGAUGCUUCUAGUCUGAAUGGAAAGUACCUUGGCAGUUGGCUUCAGCUACUGGGGUUGAUGGACAUAAUUGGUUGUACCAUAUUGCAUAUGGUGUUUUUGACACAGAGACUGAAGAUAACUGGAAGUGGUUCAUCCAGAAUUUGCACAGAGCAGUGGGGGACCCUCCAGGAUUAGUGAUAUGUUCAGAUGCUUGUAAAGGACUUGAAAAGGCUGUGGGGGCUGUCUUCCCACAGGUUGAAAACAGAGAGUGCAUGAGGCACUUGUACCAAACCUUCAUGAAGCACUACUCAGGUGAUGUGUUCACUGACCGGGCAGGCCUAAAGUGGUAAGGAUAAGAGGUUGCAUGGAGAAAAACAGUUCAAAGAAAAAAGUGAAAUGUCACAGGUGUGGAGGUUUCGGACACUUUGCCAAGACAUGCAAGGAACCUGAGUUGGGACCAAAUGGUGAGACUGCCGCUGCACCAAAUAAAAGGUAUGAUUUUUUUUCUCAAUUUGCAUCUGUUAACUACAUAUAAGUGUCAAAACAAAUUAAUCUUGAACUAAUGUUGCAGGAAGAGGCCACCAGAAGAAGAAGCUGGACCAUCCCAAGUAAAAAAGAAGAAGACAACCACUAAGAAAAAGACACCUAAGAAGAAAAAGACACCAGUGAAGAAGAAAUUGAUGAAAAAUGCAGCAGCUCCACCAGCACGGGUUAUUAGAAGCAUGUUUGAUAUGAUAAAUGAUGGGUAGUAAUCAAGCUUAUUUUUGUGUGUAAUGGAAAAUGGCCUUUAUGGCCGGUGAACUUGAACGAAAAUGUAGCAGCUCCAUCUGCAGCUUAUUUUGUGAAUUAGGAUAUAUUUUGUGACUCUUCUGUAAUGGCCUAAAUGGCAACUUGCUUGUGUGAAUGGCCUAUAUGGCCUUUGAACCAGCACCUCUGUAAUGGCCUAAAUGGCAUUUGAACCUGCGGUUUCUGAACUGUGUCAAUGCAGCUGCAGAUUUGGUCUUAUUUUUGUGUCCUAGAACAAUUCUGGGAACAUUCUUCUUGCCUAUAUAUAUGAUACAUGUGUUCUGGGAACAUACAGGCACACACGCACAUUGCUCCAUAAAAGAACAAUUCUUGGAACAAUUCUAUUAUAUUUCAGAUUGCCUAUAUAGCAUUGCAUAAUUCUGGUAACAUUCAGUCAUCCAAUCAGAACCAUACAUUCAUUCAAUUCAAUUCUGGGAACAUUCAGGACACACAAAACAUUACUUCCUAAAAUAACUUGGUACAGUCUAAUCACUUCCAGAUACCAGCAACAACCACACCAAUCAUCACACCUAUAAAACCUACAAAUACAGCUGCUAGAACAGAAACCCCUGGUCGCUGGUUUCUUGCUCCGGAUGUGGACCAAAGCAACAUGGCAAAAGGGGCACUCCCUUCUACCGCUAGCCGUCGAGCUCGAGGCACUGGAAGUUGCCUUCAUGGGGCCGCGACUCCACUUCCCGGCCAUGGCUUCAGAGUUGGACGCCGCCAUCGAACUGAGCCUCCAGAGCACUAGAAGCAGUAGACCUCAGGCCACCGUGCUAGGCUGCUCCAUCGUGGGCUGUGAUGUCGGCUCAAGAGGGGAAUCAACGCUGGAUGGAUUCUAGGGAUUGGGUUCGUGGAGAAGGGGAACAGAGAAGGAGGAACACGGUGAGGAACGGAGUCGUACGGGAGAAGAAGACCGAGCCGCGACUGCUUCUAUCGUGGGUAGGCAGGGGCAUCGGUGUCCAUAGGCUGGUUGCGUAUGCGUAUCCCAGGCCCAGACAGCUUGUCUACAUAGAAAAUGGCAAUCAUCAGGAAGAUUGAGAAUUGUAAUGGCAUGUUUUGAAAUACCCGAAUUGUAAUGACAUUUCUCCAACUUCGAAGAAUUGUAAUGGCUCAGAUAAAAAAAACCCAAAAAAAUUACGGCCCAAUAAGUCGGACGACGACUGCGAUGGACACGAAGGCGACGAGCUCGGUGGUGACUGAUGAGGUGCGGGUUGGGGAACGCGGUGAGGUACUCGGCGUCGGCAGAGGAGUCUGGGAGCAGGAGGAGGAGGAGGUUGAGGAGGCGCGGAGAACUAGAACCGCGAGGAGCAGGUCACGGAGGAUGAACGUGCCCCACGGGAGGAGGAAUGGAGGAUCGGGAUCCUAAGCGCGACGAGAGCCACGGCGGCGACGCCCGGCCCUGAACCUGAAGGCGCGGCGCCCAAGUUGUCGACGAAGGCCGCGGCGAGCAGUGCAUCCAUGUGGUGCGCGGAUGGCUGGGCGUAUGCCACGAGGUGUAUCACGUUAGUUUCCACCGCAGUGGCGCAGGAGAAGGGGAGCGGCGGUGAUGUGCAGUUGCUGAAUGCGGCACCCUCCAUAUAUUCGAUGAAAUGGCAAUAACAAUGACUAAGGGUUAACAUUACCAUGUUCUGAGGGCAGCGACGGAACCAAUUUUUGUUAGUAUGAUAAAAUAUAUAUAAUUAUAUGUUUGAUAAACUUUUAAAAAAGUAUUACACUAUUUUUUACCAAAAUUAUCAUAUUUGAAUAAAAAAUAUGUGAAAUUGAUAUUUAUUAUACUAUAAAUAUUAGUAUUUAUAUAGGUAUUUAAGGAAAGAUUAGGCUUUGGGAGGGGCACUGCCUGGUUACGCCACUGGUUCUAAGCCAGGGUCAUCAUACUCUUCUAUACAGAUAAACAAACACGUUCUUAGCCGAACACGAUUCUGCAUAAAUAUGAAAUCAAACACACACACACUUCUUCCAUUUGGAUCGGGCCCUGGCUGACCAGCCAGCCAAUUCGGAGAAAUCGAGUCAACCCACUUAUGGUGGCUGCGCGGAGGAGCGGCACCAAGGGCCUCGUGGAUGUGGAGGGAGCUGUUCGGUCGGUCCAUAGAGCAGCGGGAGGUGGCGGGCGGGCGUGCGAGCCAAGGCCACACCUACCGAGCACGGGCGGAGCUGUGAAGCCGCGGUGCGGCGCAUAUGCAGGCAAGGGGUGAGGCGAGUCGCGUGAGGUGGGGCUAGGUGGCAACAUGGUGACGAUGGGUGCCUAGUGAGAGACGUAGGGCGUGUUUGUGAAGGUGGCUCCGCCUAGCACGGCUACCUGGCAUGACCCUAGCCAGUCCGAGCAUGGCUCAUAUGGUGCAACAACACGUGUUUGUAUCACUGGUUCAGACAAGCCCGACUUAAGUGAGAUCGUGUUUGGUUCGUGUCUCAAGUGGCUACGGUUACUUCGGACUAGAAAUUUGGUAGACUUACCACCACAAUUUUAUUUAGAAACAAAUUUGUGUAAUUAUUAAUUAAAUUAAUAAUAUUAAUUUGAUAAACAUGUGACAUGGUAAACAUUGUUGGGAACACAUAUUUCACGCGGACACGGUCGCUAUGCAACAAGAACCGAACUACAACUCUAGGUGGCUUUUAAUUAUAAAUUUAUUAAAUAAAUAUUAAACAAAUUAUAUUUAAAUCAAUAAAUGUAUAAACGAGUCAUAUAAUAAAUAUUUGCACUGCUGCGUAGAACACGACGACACAAAUCUAACGCAACUGGAACGAUUCGAAUCGGAAUUAGGAUGGUUAAAUGAUGAAUAAUUAAAGGACAAUGGCAAACUUGUAAAUACCAUCAUCUUCAACCUUGGGUCCUGUUCGUGAACGCAGUGGCCAAUUAGAAGAUCGGAAGCAGCAGCUGCUGGGCACCGGGAAGGGAGGGCUCGGCCGAGACUUGGCCAGGCCGGCGGCGCAGCGGCAUGUGGCCAGAUGACCCACGCGCUGGGUCGGGGCAAGGGCCCGCACGACGACCUGCACGGGCCACACAGAGCCGGCCAUGCGGCCGUGAGCGGCGCCGGCGGCUGUUUGCGCAGCACGCAAGGGAGGCACGCACAGCGCGGGGCUCGACGUGGUGGUGUGGUUAGGGUCGGGGAGCGGCGCUAGGCCCGAGGCGAGGAGGGCCGCGGCCAUGGCCGGAGAUAGCCUGGAACAGAGAAAAUCAUAGUAAAGUUCGUCGGAGAAGAGAGAAGGGGAAGGGAACUGGCCAAACCGACAUGGAUUUACAAAACGAAUGGCGUGCCGGUGUAGAGGAUGAUGAGACGAACCUCGCAGCGGUGACAGUUUUCGCAGAGGUCGCCGGAGUUGACCGGAAAAGCUCGCCGAACUUUCACCGGAAAAGUUCGCCGGAAACGAGAUCUAAAACUUCGGCGACCGAUCUACGGGGCUACGAGUGGCGGCUCGCAAAAGCGGUCGUACUUCUGAACUCAGCGCGUCGAGGGCUACGCCGUCAUAUAUAUAGGUCUAGGGUUUGGAGACUUUUCGAAAUUUCUUAAUUUCGAGAUUUUAUAAAAAUCAUUUUCAGUUUAAAAAUAAUUCUAGAAAAGUUGAAAUCAUUUUAAAUCCCUAAAAAAUAUUUUUAAAAUUCUAAAAAUGAAAAGAAAACUUUUGGAGGUAUUUUGAGAGUUGAUCAAUCCAAAUAAAGUUUUUGGUGUCUAUGAAAAAGAAUUUUAGAGCAUUCAAAAAUUAGAUUUUUGCUUUAGGAAAAAGGGAAAAAGUCUCGAAAAGGCUCGAAAAAUUCUCGGGAAGGAUUGGAUGACGUCAACGUGUUUUUAAAAUCUUAGCACACAAAAAAAACUCAAGCAAUAGACAAGCAUCACAUCAACAAAAGUCUGUCUAAUUAAUUCCAAAACAUUUGAAAAACACCAUUUUUCUUCGAUAAAAAUAUAUGGAAAUCUAAACUAUUGUUGGCAAAUUUUAUCCACAUAUUAAAACCAUUCAUUUUAUUUAGUGUUUUUAAAUAACAACCCAAAAUAAGAAUUUUGGGGUGUUAUAGAUCUACCCCACUUAACAUAAAUCUCGUCCCGAGAUUUGAAGAGGCUAGAGAGAUAGUCAAAGCAGAUCAUCAAGAUUGUAUUGAGACUUUUGACAAGAUAUGAUUUAGGAAUUAGUGAUUAAAAAAAUGGCAAAGAAGUCAAAGAUCGAUUCUCAAGAUUGUUUUAGAGUUUAUGGCAUGAGGUUAAAGGAUUGAAGAUCCGCAUAGGUUGAAAAGCAAGAUAAAAGGAGGUUGAAAAGAUAGAUAAAGGUUGAUCACUAGGUUUCCACAUUAUAAGGUGUAAAGAUAAGGAGUGAAGGUUAGCAAUCGAUAAUAUAAAAGAUAAAUCUUAUAGUGCUCACAAUCUCGUUGAUUCAAGAUUUAGGAGAUAUAUGAUGAAAAUAUUAGGAAUUGUCAAAGAUUAAGAAGGAAGACAAAGAUUGAAUUUAUAGUCUUCACGCUUCAUUGAUUCCAAGACUAUGAGAUGUAAGAUCAAAGACUAAAGGUUGGCACACAACGAUCAAAAAGAUUAAGAUUGAUGACAAAAAGGAUUGACAAGAUAGAUGAAGACUUAUCUUUAGGUCUUUAUAUUAAUGGGGAUACAAUCGAGGGCAAACAAAGAUGACAAGAAGAUGGAGUUCUGUGACAAAAGGAUAAAGUUUGAUACACAAGAAAGAUAAGCAAGAGAUAGUCUUCAAACUUCAAACUCAUUUUGUUCAAGAUAUCAAGAGUGGUAGAGGAUCCACCCCACUUAACAGGAAUUUUAUUCCACUUGGAAAUUGUUGUUGAAGUGAGUACUUUCUCUAGGGCUUGCUGCUAUUGGGGCAUCCUUUAUGUGUUGAUUCCUCCAUUAGGUUGUGAUAAAGAAGAAGGCAUUAAAAACUAGAGUAGGUAGGGAUGGUGUAAUAUAAAGGAUGAUAAGGACCGAGAUUGAUAAAAAAAUAGGCCAGAUAAGAGAGAACACCACCCCACUUAACAGAGAUCGAGCUAAUCCUCAAACGGUUUCUAAAAAACCUCCUUGAAAACACUAGAACAGAGACGACACACAAAACACAAUUCAAGCAAGACAAGCACACAUCACAUCACGAUACUACACGUACUUCUUCAACAGUGGUGGUCAUCCUAAAAGGUAAGUCCGAUAUGAUGAAGGGCCAUCGAAUUUAGAAAUAAAGCAUGUUUUGAAAUCUUAAGUGAAACAACUAAACAAAAGCCAAGGAGAUAAAUAGAAAUAGCUCAAAGGUAGCUAUUCAAGGAGGGGAUACAUGACAAGGAUGAGAAAAUAGUCAGAGUCAAAGAGUCAAGGGAUGACAAAAUAGUUUUAUAUCAAAAUAAGCUUUAGAAAUCGACCAGUGCUAUCUAGGCAUACGUCCUACAGUCAACAUUGCUCUGAUACCAUUCCUGUCACACCCUGGCUUUUAAAAUAAGACCAGAGUCGUCAUAUGUGUGCCCAGGAAGUCCACACAUACAACAAAUAAUAGAAAUAUCAGAAACAAUGUUAUAUAUAGCAGAAAACAUAUUUAUAUUAACACUUACAAACAUCAGAGUACGCGGAAAGAGUAGCUAAACUUCGUAGGCUCUUUUCUUCUCAGGGACGGUUGACUCGGGGCUCCGUACGCCAAGCACUUCUGAUAAGCUUCUAGAAAACUCCAUAGCAUCUAUGUCCUUCUUCUGAGCAGCACUUUACUACACACUGGGGUGUGGGGAAAAUAGCAAGGGUGAGUUCAUGUCAAACUCAGCAAGUACAGACGGAAAGUAUAAUGACAUGCAAGGCUUAAUCAAAGGAAAAGUUGACACUGUUUAACUGCAGGUGAGCUUUUAAGUUGGUACACUUUUAUUACUAUUCUUUUAUUAAACAACCUAUUACUAGUGGUGAGUAGAAUAUCCCAACCCUUAAUUAGAUGGAAGUAUAUUAACCAUUUUAGUAAUCAUCAUCAUUAUUAUUAUUAUUAUUACCGAGGUAGCAACCUCAGAUAGUAACUCAGGGUAGCAACCCCAAUAAGGUCAUGGGAUAGCAAUCCCGAUUAAGAACACAGGAUAGCAAUCCUGCCAACACGGAAUAACCAUUCCGCCAAAGCACGAGUUAGCAACCUCAACCAAGUUUCGCCUCCAAGUUCCAUGUGAUUCCAAUUUGCUCAUCAUGUGAGGGUCUGGGCCGCUCGUGACCAUGAGCACGGCUGAUAUAUCAGUUUUACACUCUGCAGAGGUGUGCACGUUCACUCCAAGUCGUGAUUCCUAUUUGUCCGGGGUCAUGACUCCCCAAAACACUGCCAAGGUGAGCAGGCAGGGUGUCACUACGAGACCUUUCACAGGGUCCAACUAAUAGGAUGCCACUCGCAAGUUUUUACCGAGGCGCGCGGCAGCCGUGCCCAUAGCAAUGGGACCCCGAACUGACCGACCUCUUAAUAUAAAUACCCAAGCUACUUCCUUACGCCUACCCGGAAAGUAACACCCUACCAGUGGAGGUCCUGAUAAUUAGUCAAGCCAGAGCCAUAUAGCUUGGAGCUGCACUGUAUGUCCCAGGGGGCCGCUCCACGACUAAGUCCUUACGGAGGGCAGAGACGGGUACGCCCGGCAACCGGGCCAACCAACAAUACCCGCUCCCCCUUUCCUCAACAAACCACGAUGCUCACAAGCACCGCAACAUCUCCGUCACCAAAGUGACCAUUGUUCAUCAUUUAAACAUUAAUCAUCAUUGAAGAAUUCAUUAGGCAAGAUUAUUACUUUUAUUAUCAUAUAGAUUAGAUGAGUAGAGCAGCUAAGCAUAACUACUGUUCACUAUUCUACCAUGUAUAAAACCCAGGAGUACAAGGAAUAUAGUAGAAGACUAGUCAGGUCCUUAGGGUUUGCAGUAUUAAGACACAUGCAAAGAAAGUAAAUGUAUUUAAAGUUCAUAGGUACAAAUAUGAUCAAAGGGUGUCUGCACUUGCCUUAAUUUUCAGUGUAUAACUGCUCAGAAUUCUUUGGCUUCUAUCUUCUGAUCUCCAACUUCUGCUUCGACUAUCGGUCCUUAGCUCCUGAUCUUCACCGUUGACGAACCACGCUUCUUCUACUCGUAGCAACCAAGCAACACAAACAGACAAACAACAAUCACGACUAAGAACAAGCAUCAAUCAAAAGAAAAGUUUUGAAAAGAAGAGCGCAAUAAAGGACACGACCUAUUGCUAUGAUCGUGACCACACAAGAACGAUUGAGAACGAAGCUAUUCGUUAAAUGAACACGGCUUUCGAGGUUCGAAGUGCAACGAAGAAGAUCAACUAUUCGCUUGAUCUAUUUUAUUUGAUGAAAAGAGGUGAUAGACUUUUAAGAGAAAAAUCAUAAAGUGAAAUUAAACAAACUAUAAUUAUAAAAGACAAAGUAUAGUUCUAGUCGUAUUCUAUUUAUAAAUAGUUAUAGAAAUUGUUUAGACUAUUUUAGCAUUCAUAGCUUAGAGAAUAUAAAACGAGUGAGAGCAACUUAAUUAGAAUCACUAUUUAUUUUCAAAGUUAAUCUAAGCAAGUCAUAAUUGAAAAAUCAUUUAGGUUGAUAUUAAUUAUAUUAACAUUCUUUAUUUAAAGACUAAACUAUAUAACUAAGUUGCUUUUAAUCCAAAAGGCAUUAGUUAGAUAUUAACUAAAUUAAUUACAUGUUUCAUAUUUCACUAAACCAAUUAUAAUUAAGAAACAUUUAAGUUAAUAUUAAUCAAGCUAACAAUUAUUUACAGAAGGCCAAGAUUAUAGACCUAAGUUGCUUUUAAUAAAAAAGAAAGGCAUUGCAUAAGUAUUAACUAAAUUGCAUCUAGACCGACUUCAUAUAAAUCAUGCUUAAACUAGUAAAAUUAUAAUUAAUAAAUACAUAUUUAAGUUGACAAGCAGUUAUUAAAAAAUGAUAUUAUCCUAUAUUAUUUUUAUUUAGAAACAAAUUUGUGUAAUUAUUAAUUAAAUUAAUAAUAUUAAUUUGAUAAACAUGUGACAUGGUAAACAUUGUUGGGAACACAUAUUUCACGCGGACACGGUCGCUAUGCAACAAGAACCGAACUACAACCCUAGGUGGCUUUUAAUUAUAAAGUUAUUAAAUAAAUAUUAAACAAAUUAUAUUUAAAUCAAUAAAUGUAUAAACGAGUCAUAUAAUAAAUAUUUGCACUGCUGCGUAGAACACGACGACACAAAUCUAACGCAACUGGAACGAUUCGAAUCGGAAUUAGGAUGAUUAAAUGAUGAAUAAUUAAAGGACAAUGGCAAACUUGUAAAUACCAUCAUCUUCAACCUUGGGUCCUGUUCGUGAACGCAGUGGCCAAUUAGAAGAUCGGAAGCAGUAGCUGCUGGGCACCGGGAAGGGAGGGCUCGGCCGAGACUUGGCCAUGCCGGCGGCGCAGCGGCAUGCGGCCGGAUGACCCACGCGUUGGGUCGGGGCAAGGGCCCGCACGACGACCUGCACGGGCCACACAGAGCCGGCCAUGCGGCCGUGAGCGGCGCCGGCGGCUGUUUGCGCAGCACGCAAGGGAGGCACGCACAGCGCGGGGCUCGACGUGGUGGUGUGGUUAGGGUCGGGGAGCGGCGCUAGGCCCGAGGCGAGGAGGGCCGCGGCCAUGGCCGGAGAUAGCCUGGAACAGAGAAAAUCAUAGUAAAGUUCGUCGGAGAAGAGAGAAGGGGAAGGGAACUAGCCAAACCGACAUGAAUUUACAAAACGAAUGGCGUGCCGGCGUAGAGGAUGACGAGACGAACCUCGCAGCGGUGACAGUUUUCGCAGAGGUCGCCGGAGUUGACCGGAAAAGCUCGCCGAACUUUCACCGGAAAAGUUCGCCGGAAACGAGAUCUAAAACUUCGGCGACCGAUCUACGGCGCUACGAGUGGCGGCUCGCAAAAGCAGUCAUAGUUCUGAACUCAGCGCGUCGAGGGCUACGCCGGCAUAUAUAUAUAGGUCUAGGGUUUGGAGACUUUUCGAAAUUUCUUAAUUUCGAGAUUUUAUAAAAAUCAUUUUCAGUUUAAAAAUAAUUCCAGAAAAAGCUGAAAUCAUUUUAAAUCCCUAAAAAAUAUUUUUAAAAUUCUAAAAAUGAAAAGAAAACUUUUGGAGAUAUUUUGAGAGUUGAUCAAUCCAAAUAAAGUUUUUGGUGUCUAUGAAAAAGAAUUUUAGAGCAUCCAAAAAUUAGAUUUUUGCUUUAGGAAAAAGGAAAAAAGUCUCGAAAAGGUCCGAAAAAUUCUCGGGAAGGAUCGGACGACGUCUAAACGUGUUUUUAAAAUCUUAGCACACAAAAAAAACUCAAGCAAUAGACAAGCAUCACAUCAACAAAAGUCUGUCUAAUUAAUUCCAAAACAUUUGAAAAACACCAUUUUUCUUCGAUAAAAAUAUAUGGAAAUCUAAACUAUCGUUGGCAAAUUUUAUCCACAUAUUAAAACCAUUCAUUUUAUUUAGUGUUUUCAAAUAACAACCCAAAAUAAGAAUUUUGGGGUGUUAUAACAGAUUCAGCUCUAGUGCUCUACAACUAGUGGCGGAUCUAGUAUCACUAAUUUAGGGUAGAAGAGGGGGGGACUUCUCUUUCUCCUCAUCUUCCUCCAUUUUUUUCUCUUCUUCAUCCAUGCAUAAAAUUGUUGGGGGCUCCAUUUUACGAGCAGGGGUAGGGGGGCUCAAGCUCCCCCAAUAUACACACUGCAUCCGCCCCUGCUACAACCUACAAAGUGACAAACAUAGCAUGCCUUUUUCUUUACCUGAUUGUUACAAACUUAUUUGUGCGAUGCUUAGCCCAAAAAGUCUUCAAGUCAAUUGGAUUAGCAAGGUUGUACCCUUCACCAGCCAGCUUCUCAAGCACCUUUUUGAAUGCACCUUGGCUCAUUUUCCUUCCAGAAAUACGUGCGCCCCGACGCUUUGUGUUCAUUGGCAGUGGAUACGUUGAUAUAGAAGUUGUGCAACAUGCAGACUGCCAGCCACCUGCACCCCACCGGUAGCAUUGCUGGGGAGCUCCCGUGCAAGAGCAAACUAGUGUUGGUAUGUUGGCAAGGUCCAGCUCAAUACCAUUAAUCACCAUCCCCACAGUCUUCUUAGAUCCCCUCCUUUAGAGUGCAUGCCCAUAGGGUGCUCCAUCCUCCAGUGGAACAGCAGCCUUCUUAGGCUUCUUAGGCUUUGGUGACUUAGGCUGUUGAUUCUACUGUCGAACCCACUGCCUCUUUUUCACAGGUGGCUCGGUAGUAACUGCACGAUGAUCCUCAAUUAGUGGAGGUGGCGCUUCCUCUUCCUUGCAUGGAGGAGGCUCCUGAAGCUAUUGUGACUCAAGUGAUGGUUGCAUCAUCUGGAGAGUAUGCUGUGCAUCUGAUAUCAUCCCAUAGCUAGUAGGAUGGUAAUGCACAAUAUGUCCACCAUGGCCUGGAUGCCCAACAUGCCCAGCUGGUCCAAUAGGGCGAGAAUGAAGGACCUUCUGCUCAGGAGGACGUUGGUGGUGCAACUGGUGCAGCCAAGCUUCAUUGCGUGAGAAGUCCAUGUGAAUAGGUUGCGACUUGGCAGGCAUGCCAAUAGAGGCCCGACCACCAACGGGGCCACGGAAUGUUGCGAGUGCUGCUGCAUGUGGAGCUGGUGCGGGGCAUUGUGGUGUCCGUGGUGCUGCAAGAAGGCACCGUUGGGGAGCAGUGACUUUGUGUCCCGGUCAGGUGGCACGGACGACAUGACCUGCAGGCCGAGGUUGCCUUUGACAGUGUCGUAGAAGCCCCAAUUCCGAGUGCCUAGGCUGCCGUCGUCGUCGUCCAUCUCUGAUUCAAAUCCCACCUCCGAAGACCGCAACGAGGAGAAGAAAACCGAACCUCCUCGCAGUUCUGAUUAGCCCAUCUCAUCCCCUCCAAUCGGUAAUCCCUGCACACCCAUUUUGGCAAUCAGACCAGGUCUAGAAGUACAAAAUUGCAGAAGACAUUGUAAUCGAACUAUAGAUACCAAAUCGAAGCCAGUAGGCCUAGUUGCUAAAAUGCUCAGGUUAGAUCCGGAUACAAAUUGCUUCAGGUAGGGUUUGGGUGGGUGCUCGGUUCAGCAGAGCAGGAAGGGAUGGGCAAACAAAGGGGUGGUCCCACCUGUUGGAUGAUCGUCACCGCCGACGAAGGAGCUCGACGAACAAGGUCGGCGCCGCUCGCCCAGUCGUCGGCGAAUGGAGGUUGGGGGUGGUCAUGGUCAGAGUCAGACUCAGGGCACGAGAUACGAAUGGAUCGGAUCCUCCGCUACGCCGCCUGGGCACCGCCGAACCUCUGCUCAGGUUCUCAUCACACGCAGCAUCCCAUGGCCCACCUAGGUAGGUGGUAGAACUAUGGCCUAAUAAAACCCCUCCAGCUAGUUCCCUCCGCUAGGCCUAGGGCCCACACCCCUCUCUUGUAGGCAAGUGCCCACAAGCACGGCCCACUAGAACCCUUCCCUAUAUGCUUUCGGGCCCAACAAUCCCGUCCGUCCAAAUCAUUCCUUAUCCUUCUUCCCUGCCAGCUGGCACUGCUUGGCUGCUAGCCACGCGCUUCUCCUUUUCGCCUUCCAGUUCCAGGCCAACACUAGCAGCAUCGCCUUCGCCUCCUCCAGCCUACUACUAGGGCUCGAGGUCCAUUGCCGUUUCCGAUCGAUCACCCAUGGUGUCAGUUCUCACUCCCUCAGCAAAGCUGCCGCUGCUUCACCAUCACCACCCUGCAAAAUGAGGUAACAGCUGGCCGUAUUCCUCAUGCUCUGUAUGUCACUGUGUUGCUGCUGCUGAUCCAAUCCCUCAGAGUUGGAGGCUUGUAAUGUUGUACGUUUUUCAGGAUUAUUGGGGUUCUGGAGGGAUCGAAGCCGUGCUGUUACAUCAAGGGGGAGAAUCACCAUGCUCAGCCAGGAGAAUCCCGGCGGCAAUGGCGACGGCACGCCUUUGUACCUUGGGAUAGACUUCGGAACUUCUGGAGCAAGAUAUGCUCUCAUCGACAAGGAAGGAGCCAUCCAUUCAGAAGGGAAACGAGCUUAUAGUGUUCCUGUAAGAGCGUCCACUUUCCAUUCCUGACGACGAGCCAGCGAGCGCAUGCUUUGAUCGGAGUUGCUAUAUAGACAGGUCGGCAACGCUGCCACCAUGGACUGGGCGAGCUCCUGGCGAGCGGCGCUCUUCUAGCUCCUCGCCGACAUCCCGCCCGUCCAUCUCCUCCAUCUCCAUAGACGGCACCUCGGCCACCACGCUCAUCGUCGACAGGUGAAUGAGUAUCAACUUCUCGGACACGGCUGAAACCGGCAAAUCUGUGUGUGUCUGAUGACUUAACUGCUCGCGAUGCCGCCGCAGCGACACUGGGGAGCUUCUCACCGGCCCGUUCCUCUACAACGAGAGCUUCUCGGACCCGCUGCCCGCCGUGGAGUCGAUCGCGUCCGCGAACCACACCGUGUGCUCCACCUCCAUGCUCUGCAAGCUCGUGUCGUGGUGGACCUCGACCACGACCGGCAGCAGUCGUCCGGCGGCGGUGCUGAUGCACCAGUCCGACUGGCUCCUCUGGCUCUUGCAUGGCCAGUUUAGCGUCUCCGACUACAACAACACCCUCAAGGUGGGCUAUGAUCCGGAGCUCCACCCCUACCCGAGCUGGCUAACGUCGCAGCCAUAUUCUCGCAUGCUGCCUGCUUCCAUCAGAGCUGUAAGUUAAGGAUCGACAAUCAAACGUUGUAUGGUGGAUUGGAAUGGCAAGAACACGAAGAACAGACAAGGGUUUUAGGCAGAACGCCACCAGGCGACAGGGUGACACUGCCCCUUUUCAGCUUAUGAGAAAUGAGAUUACAAAAUGCCUAACCGGCAUUACAACGCACACCACAACUUCCCUUACACCAGGGUUUUAUGGAGAACCAACUAACUUCUCGAAAUAGGCUAAACCUGAUCCUAAAGACCUGCUCAAAAUGGACCAAAAACACACGGUUCAGAAACAUAGGACGCCGUGGACGCGCUCACCACAGAUCCACUUCUCCAGCUUCAACUUGUCCCAUUCAAACUGAACUUUUGCGCCAUCCUUUGUCAUCCCAACCGUGGCAGUUGAUGUCUUUAUUGUUGUGACUGGAUUAAACACCAACACACUCCCCCCUAAGACAGGCACACACUAAGAUCCCAGACUCCAAUCAAAUGACUCAUAACUGCUAACUUCAUAGCUGUCAUCGACUUUGUCAGAACAUCAGCUCUCUGUUCAUCAGUGCACACUCUCUUUGCCACAAUCUGCCCCCUCUCAAUGCACUCUCUGAUGAAGUGGUACUUCAGAUCAAUGUGUUUACUCCUUCCAUGAAACAUAGGUUUUUUCAUAAGAGCUAUUGCAGAAUUGCUGUCAAUGUAGAGAGUAACUGUCUUGGGUUUUUCUUUAGUGAUCUCACUGACUAAGUUCCUUAGCCAUAAAGCCUGUUUAGCUACAGAUGUUGCAGCUACAAACUCUGCCUCACAAGAAUACAGUGUGACUAUCUUCUGUUUCUGUGAAGUCCAAGUGAUCAGGUUCUCAUUCAGAUAGAAUGCCAUUCCUCCAGUGCUCCUUCUCUCCACUGCAUCUCCACCCUGAUCACUGUCAGUGUACCCUUCAAGCUUGUCUGCACUUCCACCUUGAACAUACACCAGUCCAAGAUUAACUGUGCCCUUCAAGUAUCUCAAAAUUUGCUUUACUGUCUUGGCAUGCAUCACAGUGGGCUUCUCCAUGAAUCUGCUAGCAACUCCCACAGAGUAAGAGAGAUCUGGCCUGCUAUGCAACAACUACCUCAGACAUCCAAUAAUUUUCCUGUAUUCAGUUGCAUCUACCUGUUGUCCUCCCUUAUCUGCAUUCAAGUUGCAACCAGGCUCCAUUAGAACUUUGGUAGAGUUACACCCACUCAUCCCAAACUGCUCCAAAACCUUCCUAGCAUAUCCACUGUGCUUCACUGUUAUGUAGUCUUCCCUUUGGUCAACCUCAAUGCCAAGAUAAUAAUUCAGCAGACCUAAGUCUGUCAUUUCAAACUCUGACAUCAUUUGUCUCUUGAACAACUUGAUUUCUUCUGGAUUGCCUCCAGUCACAAUUAGGUCAUCAACAUAAACUCCCAAGAUGAGUGCCUUGUCACCAGUACCCCUGGUGUCAGCUUGUUCACUCAAGCAUUUUCUAAAACCAAGCAUAUUCAAACUCUUGUCGAGUGUGAUGUUCCAGGCUCUGGGAGCUUGCUUCAAGCCAUAGAGGGCUUUGCUCAAUCUGAACACUUCCUGCUCCCUACCCUUCACUUUGUACCCUUCAGGUUGUGAAACAUAUACCUCUUCCUCCAACUCUCCAUGUAAAAAUGCUGAUUUCACAUCAAGAUGGUGGACUUUCCAACCAUUGUUAGCUGCAAAUGCAAGCAGCAGUCCUAUUGUGUCAAGUCUUGCAACAGUUGCAAAAACUUCUUCAAAAUCAAUGCCAUGUUUUUGCACAUAUCCCUUCGCAACUAAUCUAGCUUUGUGUUUCACAAUUUCCCCUUCAGAGUUUCUUUUCAACUUAAAACCCCAUUUUAAACCAAUGCGCCUCUUCCCAAUAGGCAACUCAACCUGUUUCCAUGUUUUAUUCUUCUCUAUGGACUAAAUCUCUUUGUCCAUAGCCUCAACCCACUCUUGAUGUCUAGCAGCUUCGGUGUAGUUGGUUGGUUCAUCAGCUUGAACUAGGAGUGCCUCCACAUCUGAGUCUACUAGUUCCUCUUCUGAAUCUCCCAACUGUACCUCUUCUGUCUCAUUGUAUAUAUCAUUUAGAUCCUUAAAUCUUAGGACCUAAUUGCUGCUCCAAUCUAGUGUUGAGCUAAUUCCAGCAGAUGGACUAUUCUGUGGAGUUUCAAACCCUGCAUUCACUGGUUCAGACUGACUGUCAGCAUCAACUCCCUCUUCACCCUACCACUGUAGCCCAUCUGACAAUGCUUUAGAGCCAUCAGUUGCCACCACUGCUUCAUUCUCUGCUGACGCUUCUUGCCAAUAUUGUUGAUAAGCAGCCUCACCCCCACCAGUAUAAGCCUCUACAGGUUCUCCUUCAUCCACAAAUUCUACUGAGUUUCGCUCAGCUGAACUUCCACUCUAGUCCCACAACAUGUGUUCCUCAAACACUGUAUCUAUGCUGACAAUGAUUUUGUUUGAGUUUGGGUCAUACAAUCUGAAAGCCUUGGAGCCAUCUUCUGCCCCAAAGUAGAUUAGCUUCUUGCUCCUAUCAUCAAGCUUUUUUAAGUGAGGUGUCACUAACUUGGCAUGAGCGAUGCACCCAAAUACUUUCAGAUGUCCCAAACUUGGCUUCCUGCCAGUCCAAGCUUCAUGUGGUGUUUUGUCACCCAAAAUUUUAGUUGGCAACCUGUUGAGGAGAUAAACAGCAUGCCUCACUCAUUCAGCCCAAUACCUGCCUGGUAUCCUCAUGCUUUUCAGCAGGGCUCUGGCCAUGUCCAUGACUGACCUAUUUCUCCUCUCAACAACUCCAUUCUGUUGGGAGGUGAAUGGAGCAGUGAAAUGCCUCUUGAUCCCUGCCUGUUCACAUACACCUGCAAACAUGUUAGAUAGGAACUCUCCACCUCUAUCAGACCUGAGUGCCUUGAUCCUGCACCCUGUCUGAUUCUCCACUUCAGCUUUGAACUUUUCAAAGGUAGUCCGUGCUUGAUCCUUGCUUUUCACAAUAUGCACUUCCAUCCACCUUGAGCAAUCGUCCACCAGUAGCAUGAAGUAUUUGUUUCCACCUACUGUUACUGGUGUGAUUGGUCCACAUAAAUCAACAUGGACCAACUUGAGCUUCUCAUAACUUGCUACUGAGUUGCUCUAGGAAAAGGAAUCCUGGUUUGCUUUGCUGCCAAGCAGUCCCUGCAGACUUGAUCAGGAUGAUCAAUUGCAGGUACACCAGUUGCCAUACCUUUCCCAACUAGUUGUUUUAGAGAUCUAAAAUUCACAUCUCCUAAUCUCCCAUGCCAUAACCAGGCUUGAUCUUGCACACUAGCAAAUAAGCAGAUAGGUUCAACUACUUUCAAUUCAGUUUUGUACACCCUGUUAACAGCUCUAGGGACUCUCAUGAUGACUCUAUCAGAGUACUUCUCUACCACCUCCAGAUCAUCAUCAUCAUCAAGUAAGAUCUUGUGUCCUAACUCUGUUAACUGACCAAGACUGAUAAGAUUACUUCUUAGUCUAGGUAUGUAGUAAACAUGUGAUAAUACCCAUUGGUCACCCUAGUUCCCUUGAAAAACAAUUGUACCUUUACCCUGAAUUCAAACAGUAGAGUCAUCACCAAAUCUCACCUUGCCAGUUACGCUGUGAUUCAGAUCUCUGAACUUGUGUAGAUCACCAGUUAUGUGAUUGCUUGCACCAUUGUCCAGGUACCACAAAUUUCCUAUCAGAUUACCUCCUUCAGACGGAAGAAGUUUAGGCAUGAUCCUUCUUUCAUUCAGAAACAGUUGUCUGUUUCCAGGCAGGCACUGUAGCUCGUCCGGCAAAGCCAUUUCAGCUAGCAGAACUGUCCCCUCCUUGGUUGCCCCUUCUUUCUUCUUCUCCCCUGGACAUCUAUUGGCAUAGUGCCCGAACCCAUGGCACUUGAAACACUUGACAUGACUUUUGUCACGCUUCUCGGUGUGUUCCUUGCCGGUGUCACCACCGUUGCCGCGGCCACCGUCGUUUCUGCGACCACGACCACAUCCUUGGCUGCCUCCGUCAGGUUUCUUCCACCUGCCAGAAGACUCGCCUCCCACAGUCUUCUGUCGUGCCUCCCACUCCGCCUGAGUGAGCAGUACUGCCCCUUAGUACGCGCUGCGCCCUUUCCACGACGUGUGCGCUCCUCGAAAGCCUUCAGACGCCCCACCACCUCGUCGAACGCCAUGGUCUUCAGAUCGUAGAACAUUUCGAUCCCGGCCACGACGUUGAGGUAACGGUCGGGCAUGAUGUCGAACAGCUUCUUGAUCAGAUCUGCGUCUCCGAUGCUCCCCCCCAAGCUGCUGCUCCUGACCGACAGCGAGGUCAGUUUCCCCACAACUUGAUCGAGUGGGUCGUCCUCCUUCAUGUUCAUAGCGUCGAACUCACUCUUCAACGUCUGCAGCCGCGCAUCCCUCACACGAUCUGCCCCAAUGAACCGAGCCUUCAAAGAGUCCCACGCCUCCUUCCCCAUCUUCUUGUUAGCCACCUGCAUCAAGAUAUCAUCGGGGAUACACUGAAAGAGAUGCGCCUUCACCUUCUUGUUCUUCGCCGUGAUCUUCGCCUUCUCCUCCGGGGUUAACGCCAUCGCCGACGCAUCCUCCUCCGGCUCCACCACCAUCCACUCAUCCCGAUCCUCCAUAAUCGCCUGAACACGAAUACACCAACUGGUGUAGUUCAAGUUCGUCAGGGUUGGGUAGACCUGGCGCGCUUCCCCGCCACCUUGCGCCCCAUCCCUGCUCCCGCUUCCUCCGCCGCUAGGAACGAUCGACAUGGAUUCGAUCUAGAGUGUCUCCGCGAUUGAUUGACGACUCUGAUACCAGAUGUAAGUUAAGGAUCGACAAUCAAACGCUGUAUGGUGGAUUGGAAUGGCAAGAACACGAAGAACAGACAAGGGUUUCAGGCAGAACACCACCAGGCGACAGGGUGACACUGCCCCUUUUCAGGUUAUGAGAAAUGAGAUUACAAAAUGCCUAACCGGCAUUACAACGCACACCACAACUUCCCUUACACCAGGGUUUUAUGGAGAACCAACUAACUUCUCAAAAUAGGCUAAACCUGAUCCUAAAGACCCGCUCAAAAUGGACCAAAAACACACGGUUCAGAAACACAGGACGCCGUGGACGCGCUCACCGUAGAUCCACUUCUCUAGCUUCAACUUGUCCCAUUCAAACUGAACUUUUGCGCCAUCCUUUGUCAUCCCAACCGUGGCAGUUGAUGUCUUUAUUGUUGUGACUGGAUUAAACACCAACAAGAGCACCUGGCACCCCAUUGCUACACUCAAAGAUGACGUGUGCUCACAGUAUGGUAAUUAAACACACUUGUGUUAACCAUAAUUUCUUGUUCUUGCAAUCCAAUUAUGCAUUAAUAAUUAAUUGUUUCAUCUUGGCCUUGGCACGCAUGCAGGGCUCUCCAAGAACUAUGUUGUGUGCACUGGAACCACCGACAGCAUAGCAGCGUUUCUUGUAGCCCGCAACAGUGAACUAGGAAGAGCUGUGAGUACUAGCAGUAAAUCAGUAAUGUAGUGUCACGAACACGCACCAAAUACAGUGUCGUGUUCUUGGUUUUUUCUUGAUUGAAUCGAAGAACUAAUCUGUAGUACCUGUUAAAUGUAAUGAAGGUGACGUCGCUGGGUUCAACUCUGGCGAUCAAGCUGGUGAGCCAAGUCCGCGUGGACGACGUGAGGUUCGGCGUGUACAGCCACCGCCCGGAUGACACGUACUGGCUCGUCGGUGGGGCGUCCAACACCGGGGGAGCCGUGCUCCGGCAGCUCUUCACCGACGACCAGCUCAUGGCGCUGAGCGACCACAUCGACCCGGCCAUGCCUUCCACGCUCGACUACUAACCGCUGCCGGCCAAGGGCGAGAGGUUCCCGGUCUCUAACCCCGACAUGACGCCAAGGUUGCAGCCCCGCCCUGUGAGCGACGCCGAGUACCUACACGGCAUACUGGAAUCCAUCGCGCGAAUUGAGGUCUAAAUAAAACUAACUAAACCAAUCAAAUUUUGUUGAUUUUGGCACAUCAUUAGAUUUGAAAUUAUUAAGCUACUAUAAGUGUACUUGUGUUUCUGAUUUUUUAUGGGCAUGGAUGAACCAGGCCAAGGGGUACAAUCUGCUCAAGGAGCUCGGCGCGACGGCGGUGGAGGAAGUGUUCACGGCAGGGGGAGGGGCGCAGAACGACAAGUGGACGGCCAUUCGGGAGAGGGUGCUCGGCGUGCCGGUCCGGAAAGCCCACCAGACUGAGGCAGCCUAUGGAGCUACAUUGCUAGCACUCAAGGGCGCCAGCAGUUUAAGCUAGCUAGUGUGUCUAUUAUUCUUGAAAAAAAUGAUGGCAGAUGUUUUCAGAACCUUUCUUGGUCAGGAUUCAGGAGUUGGUGGUGAUUCGAGCUGGCCGGGCCCAGCAACAGGCCCAGGUCCUGGUCUAGGAGGAGUAACACGACGGUGUUUGCUAGAGGUGAAAACAGAUCGGAUACUAACGGAUAUCACUGAUAUCAUAUUUAUUUUUAUAUUUUUGGUCGGAUUCGAAUACGGAUAAUGUCAACAAUGUCGGGUAAGAUACGAUUGGAUGUCGACAUCAUAAAUAUACGAUUUAAAUAUUUGGAUACAGAUACGGUAUCGGAUAUUAAACAUUCGGACUCGGAUACGGACAGAUGUCAACCCCUCUAAACGAAUUCGGUCUCGAAUACGGUCGAAAAAUAUCCAUAACAUUUUCAUUCCUAGUGUUUGCGCUGUGAUCGAGUGAGAUCAGUAUGCACGUGUGCCUGUGUCCAGAGUGUAGCCAAGCAUAUAAAGAUGUAUAAUGAACAAAUCGAAUCAAUCUAAUAAUCCUGCAAACAAGCUCUGUGGAUGAGCUAGGGGGAAAGGGGGGAGAUGUUUGGUUUCUUGUGCUAAAAUAUGAAGCUGAUUUUGUCAAGGAUAGUGAUCUCAUGACAUCUUCUCUUUGCGGCUGCGGAUGAAUCAUUUGCCAAAGGCAUGGCACAGAAUGCUAUGGCAAAAGCUUAUAUUCGUCGGCAGCUGCAUAAGGCCUUCACCAACGUAGGCUACAAGAAACAUUAGCCUUAGUAAAAAGCAGUUAUCCAUGUAGCUCGGGAUGGAUGGAGCCAUCAAUUCUCACAGCGCAAGCCAUAUGUAUUGGACCACGAGCAUUACUUUUUUCUCUCCAAACGUCACUCUCAAACCAUUGCUUUUUGGAAUCUAUCAACCAAUCUUAGGCCUUGUUUAUAUCUACAAAGUUUUUAGAUUUUGGUACUGUAGCACUUUUGUUUUUAUUUGACAAACAUUGUCCAAUCAUGGAGUAACUAGGCUUAAAAGAUUCGUCUCGCGAUUUACACGCAAACUGUGCAAUUAGUUUUUGUUUUCAUCUAUAUUUAAUGCUUCAUACAUGUAUCGCAAGAUUCGAUGUGAUAGGAAAUCUUGAAAAGUUUUUGGUUUUUGAGGUGAACUGAGCAAGGCCCCAGAGUGUUCUAUGCCUGUUUUGCUUCCUUUUUAGCUCAAGCCGAUGCUUUUUUGACGAGGCAACAUUCUCUUCUGCAAGACAAUAUGACACACUGCAAAGCCACCUUCAGACUGUCUCUCUCCUCCACUCUGUUAUCCGAGCCUAGCUGUCUCUAUGGGGCUAACGACACGGUGGCGCGUUGGGCAUGUGAAGGGUCGAGAUGGCAGACUAGGGGGGUGAAUAGUCCUUUCUAAAACUUAAAGCGUCGGCUAACCGAAAUAAGUGCGGAAUUAAAACUAUCGGUCUAGCCGAGACUACACCCCUCUAUCUAAGUUCUCUAGCACCUUGUAAAAGAUCCUAAAUAAGCAAACAAGGUGCUACCUUAGCAAGAGCUCACCUAACCAAUUCUAGGAGCAAGGUCACACAAACCGAUGCCACCAGUACUUUGCAAACCGGAGAGCUCCUACACAACUAACCGGAGAGCUCCUACACAACUAGUAAGCAAAAGCUCAAAGCUCCUAAGCUCACUAGCAAUGCUCAAUAACAAGGCAACCAAUUCCAAAUUAGAGAGCACAAAAUACUUAGCUACACAAACUAAGCAAUGUGACUAACAAAGUUACACAAACCAAAUUAGUCACGCAAGGGAACUACUUCUAGCUACACAAGCAAGAAGGUAACUAGCAAGCUACACAAGCUAACUAAUUACAAGAGAAACUACACAAGCACAAGUAUAUGAAAAUAAGCACAAGCUUGUGUUAGGGACUUGCAAACCAACGGGAAGAACAAUGUUGACACGAAGAUUUUCUCCCGAGCUUCACUUGGUUGCCACCAAGCUAUGUCCCCGUUGAGACAAGCUCCAAGGUUGCCGCUAGUCCUCUUGCUAGUGGUGACCCGCAAGUCACACUCUCCCACGUGGAGUGCUUACCACAAGCUCUAGCACUUGACCCGGCCGGACCACUUGCCGCUCUUCACGUCUCGCUCAACUAGAGUUGCUCUUCGCGAUCACCGCGUGGUGAGCACCGUACCCCUCACAAUCUCUUCUCCGAAGCACCGCACAAUCUCCUUGCGUGCUUCGAUGGAGUCACAAGCCAUCAAGGAGGUGGCAACCUCCAAGAGUAACAAGCACCACCGGCUUGCAACAUGAACACCUAGUGCCACUCGAUGCAAUCUCUCAAUGCAACGCACUAGAAUCACUCACUCGCUAUUGAUUCGCACUCUUGCAAGCACAAGUGAGUUAGAGGCUUUCGUAGCACUCCCCAAGCAUGGACACUAAGUCCCAAGGGUGCUCUGCACUAGCCAAGGCCAGCCACCACUUCUAUUUAUAGCCCCAAGGGCUAAACUAGCCCUUACCCCUUUACUGGGCAAAACACGUGGGCACCGGAAGCGCUGUAGGGAGCCACCGGACGCUCCACCCCAGCGUCCUGUGCUCAGGCGUCAGCCACGUGUCACUAGCCAUUUGAACUCGACCGUUGCCGCCAACGGCUACUACGCACGCGCGCCUGCACAGCAUCACCAGACGCUCUACUGCGUCACACCGGACGCGUCCGGUGCACACCAGACCCAUGCGCAGAGAGCUCCGCAAACUCACAGGGUCACCGGACGCGAGCCACCGGACGCACCCUGAGCAUCCGGUGCUCACCGGACUCAUGCGCAGAGAGGGUCGCCAAACCGCCUGCACACCGGACGCUGAGCACCGGACUAACUCCGGUGCGUCCGGUGCACUCUGCACACCUGCGCCACAGACACCACACCGGACGCUCUAGACCAGCGUCCAGUGCUGCCAACACCAGCGUCCGGUGAGUGUUUCUCAGCCUGCAACUUCUCCAAAUUUCCCAGCGGCGCAAUAGAAAAUAUACACUUAAUUUUCUCAAAAGCGCCGAGGAACUCCACCUCCUCUCAACCCUAGGAACUCCACCUCCUUUGUAAAUGUGCCAACACCACCAAGUGUACACCACAAUGUGCAAGUGUGUUAGCUUUUCACAAACAUUUUCCCAAAGGAGUUAGCCUCUCAAACUUGCCACGCCACUUGAUCCUAACACAUAUGCAAAGUUAGAUUGCUCAAGUGGCACUAGAUGACCGAUAUGCAAAACAAGUUUGCCCCUCUUGAUAGUACGACCAUCUAUCCUAAAUCUGGUCAUAAACUUCUCUACACACCUAUGACCGGUGAAAUGGAAAUGCCCUAGGUUAUACUUUUGCCUUGCGCAUUCCAUUCCAUCUCCUAUAAUGUUGAUGCAACACAUGCACCAACCAAUCACCAAAUGAUAUGAUCCACUUCAUAUCAUCACGUGACCGUAUUGGUUCAUCGAUCUUGACCACACUUGCUCUUCACCGUUGCCUUGGUCCAUCGGCGCCAAGUCUUGCUCAAGCUUCACCGUCACACGCGGUCCCUCGCUUCAAAGCCUCCGACUUACCCUUCACUCUUGCAACCGGUCCAUCGAGCCAAGCCUCAUCUUGAUCUUCUCCACCUUGGUCACAUGACUCCAUGUCAUGUCUCAUGUGCAAUGAGCUCCUCCAUCAUCAAAUCAUCACCUGUGGACUAAUCUCCUGUGUAUCUCACAUAAACACUAUUAGUCCACCUAAGUUGUCACUCAAUUACAAAAACCAAACAAGGACCUUUCACAUGACUCCAUGUCAUGUCUCAUAUGCAAUGAGCUCCUCCAUCAUCAUAUUAUCACCUAUGGACUAAUCUCCUGUGUAUCUCACAUAAACACUAUUAGUUCACCUAAGUUGUCGCUCAAUUACCAAAACCAAAUAAGGACCUUUCAGCAUGGCCUAAGAAGUUGAGAACUAAAGAUGUGCAUGCAACCCAUGGGCCCGAGGCAUGGUAAUUUGGCCCGGUCCGAGCACAGCCCAACACGGUGGGAAACGGGCGUGUGCCGGCCCAUGACACGUAGUAGGCCGUGCCUGGGCUGAUGCCUUGGCACGCCGGGCGGCACGGCCUGGCCCGCUAACAACGACCAGCCCGUUAGCGGCUCAAGCAAGUAUAUAAGACGAGGAGAGAGGGCGCCCUAACCCUAAUCCCAUUCGGCGCCACUCCCACUCCCCGCCCACGCCGCUGCUGCCCACUGCUCCCCACGAUGGCACGACCCCACCCCACCCUGCCCCAAACCCUAAUCCCCACCUGCGUCGUCGCUCCCCCAUCGAGCACUAGCUGUCUUCAUGCACUCCGGCGAGGUCGCCACCGCCGGAUCUACAAGAUCCUCAUUCGUCUUCCACUCUUCUCCGUCUCCGCCACUCGUCUGCUCCAUUUCUUCAUUGUUGGACUUUGUCUCUAGCUCUCCACCGCUCAUCUUCCUCUUCUCCUUCUCUAUCUAAACCCUAGAUCCAGAUCCUACAAUCUAACCCCCUUCUUCUUUGUUCGCAGGUCACCGACAUCAAGCUGGUGCUGCCGGAGGCGUUGAGGAAAAAUUCGAGAGGUGAAGAAGGAGAUGUUGUGGUGGCCAUGGCGAACAACGAUGGUGAGGACGUCUACUCGUACUUGCCAACCUUGGCCGAUGAGCUCAGGGACUACGGGUUGCUCGGAGAAGACGAUGACAUGACAGAUGUUGCUGACCUCUUGUUCGGUGCAGGGCCAUCGGCUACCUCUGGUGUGGGGCGUGUGAAAGGUCCAAAUGGCUAGAGGAGGGGGGUGAAUAGCCUAUUUAAAAAUUCUACAAACUUCACUAAGCAAGUGUGUUAGUAAAAUAAAUGGUGAAGCUAUUCUAGCACUAGCACAACUAAGCUAUGCAAGCCACCUACACAAGUCUAGCAAGAAAGCCAAAAACUAAGUCACAACAAGAAAGCACAACAAAAGGCUAUCUACACUCCUAAACAAGAAGGCUAAGCUAAACAACUAGCAAGGUAUUGAAAGCCCAAGUUUGGUUUUAGUAAUUAAUGACACCAAGUUGCUAAUGCCUUGUGUUUAAGUGAUUUGAGUUAGGCAUAGCAACACAUGUGAUGAAGGUGCAUGGUGGCAUGGAAAGGUGGCCACAUGAUUACAAAGAGAUGAAGCAUGAUGUGGAGAUCAUGGUGAUAGACGAGGAGUAAAGUUAUCAAGGCAAAGGUAUAAACAUAGGGUUUUACUUUUGCCGGUCUAAGAUGAGUAGAGAAAUGAUCGACCGGAUUUAGGAUAGAUAGCCAACUAUCAAGAGGGGAAAUCACGGUCAUCUCUUAAAUCAAGUGCUACUAGGUCUAUAUCUUGAGCAUAUGCAUUAGGAUCUAGUAAAGUGCUAACUUAACUCCUUUGGUGAAAAUGUUUGUGAAAUGCUAACACACAUGCACUUUGGUGGUGGACACUUUGUGGUGUUAGCACAUUUGCAAAGGAGGUGGAGUUCCUAGGGAUGAGAAGGGUGAGGGUUCCUAUUGCGCUUUUCGAGAAAAUGAAGUGCAUAUUUUCUAUUGCGCCGGUGGGAAAUUUGGAGAAGUCGCGAGAGUGUUUUCUCACUGAGAAACACUCACCGGACGCUGAGUGCGGAGGCACCAAACGCUGGCCUCAGAGUCCGGUGUGCUGUCAGUGUUUAACCCUGCUAGGGUUGAGCACUGGACGCACUCUGGUAGCGUCCGGUGGUUAGCGUCUGGUGUGAGGGGUCUUUGCAACCCUCUCUGCGCGUGGGUCCGUGUGAGCACCGGACGCUACCGGUGCUUAGCGUUCGGUGACCCUGCGGUUUGCAGAACUCUCUGCGCAUGAGUCUUGUGUGCACCGGACGCGUCCGGUGUGGACCUGCAAAGCGUUCGGUGAUCCGCAGGUGACCGUUAGGAUCUGACACGCGAGAUUCAGGACGGACACGUGGCCAACUCCAGUGCACCGGACGCAGGGAGUCGAGCGUCCGGUGCUCACUUAGUAGCGUCCGGUGCCCCCGUUUUCAGCCCUGUGAAAACAGCCAACGUUUAGUUUCUUUGAGGGGCCUAUAAAUAGAAGGUGGCCGGCUUUGGGAGGCUCUCUCUUGCACAUUUGAUUACUUGAGACAUACAUUGAGCUAGAGAACACUCCCUCCACUCAUCUCCUUGCUUGAUUGCUAAUCCUAGUGAGAUUGAGUGAGAUUCAAGUGCAUUGCUUUGAGAGUUGCAUUUAGUGGCACUUGUUUCUUGAGUUUGCUGCGGAUUUCUUGUUACUCUUGGGUGUUUCCCGAUGCCCUAGAUGGCUUGGAGCAGCGGUGGUGUUGAGCUCGUGAUUGGAGAUUGUUUCGAGCCUCACCAAGUGAUUUCUGAGGGGUUCUUGAGCCUUCCCCGUGGGAGAUCGCAAUUGGCUACUCUAGUGGAGUGCUUGUGGCUUGGAGGAUCCCCAUCUUGUGAGUGGAUGUGCGGCACCCGCUGAGGGUUUGGCUUUGAAUUGCCAAUUAGCUCGUGAUCCAUCAAGUGGGUGUAUCGCCACAACGAGGAGUAGCUUGCCGGGAAGCAAGUGAACCUCGGUAAAAAUCUUGUGUCAUCUCUUGCCGAGGUAUCUCUUGUGAUUGUGUACGUGAUUGAUUGGAUAUAUCUCUUCUCUACAACGUCGGUAUAACAAUCACUCUCCUCUCUUUACCUACUUGCCUACCUUGUUAGUUUAGCUUGUGUAGCCUAGUUCUUGUUAGUUUAGAGUUGUUGUGUUUUAGUGUUUAGCCUUCUUGCUAGACUUGUAUAGGUGGCUUGCAUAGCUUAGUUGUGCUAGUGCUAGAAUAGCUUCGCCACUUAUUUUACUAACUCACUUGUUUAGUAAAGUUUGUAGAUUUUUAAAUAGGCUAUUCACCCCCCCUCUAGCCAUUUGGACCUUUCAGGUAUGUAAGUAAGUAAAGGAGUGAAAAGUGAUUGUUAUACCAAUAUUGUAGAGUAGAAAUAUGACCAAUCAAUCACUUACAAUCACAAUCACAAGAGAGAAUCUUCGGCAAGAUUGAAAGGACCUUGAUGUCGUCUAGAGGGGGGUGAAUAGGCGUUUCUAAUCAGCAAUUAAAAACAUGCAGCGGACUAGCAGACCGCGGAACCUCUGGGUUGAAAAGCGGAACCUCCAGGACAUGAAACCUCCUGGCUAAGUCGCAGAGCCUCCUGGCAUCACAGAGUAGUCAGCAGCUGCUACACCAAGAGAUCAAGAACUCAAGCCAAACUUGAAGGUGUGUUUGGUGGUGAUGCCCAGUGGCAAGUCCACGAAGUACCUACACUCACAAACACACACAACCAAGUAGAUCGAGUGGAACACAAAUAAUGCAAUUCAAAACAUAGAGGGCAAGACACACAAUUUAUCUCGUGGUUUAGCUCGCCACCAAGGCUGGCUUAGUCCACGUUGUUGAGGAAGCCACAAAGGCUUUGGGUCUCUUCCAACCCUAUCCUCUUCUCAAGUUCAACACCGAGGUUGAGCUUGAGGUUUCCACUAUGAUCUCCAAGUAAUACAAACUUCUCGCGGCUCACCACAAGCAUGGGAGCUCGCCAAGCAACGCCUAGCCGUCUAGGAAGCUUCACCUCCAAGAGUAACAAAUGUGCAACGAAUGCUUGACGCAGCUGACAAGUGCUCAAGGGUUGAUUUGCUCUUAAUAGCUCUCUAACACUUGAUUAACUACUAAUCACUCACUCUCACAAAGAGAGGGGUUAGAGAGAGAGAGAGCUCUCACAAGGCUUGGAAUAGGUUGGGAGUGAAAUGGGAGCCAACAGCUCGGGCAGAAGACGUGGGAUGAGUAUAAAUACUCACCUGACAAAAACUAGCCAUUGGAGGUCAAAACUAGUCGUUACGACCUACAGACCCCAGAACAUUGCCUAAGAAUCUAUGAUAUUUGAAGGUCAUCCUUGUAUUUAAGCUUCUUUGUGAAGCUAAUAUGUGUGAAUUUUAAUACCACAGAGCAUAUAGCAAUUGCCUCUGUUUGUGUGGAUGAAUUGCUAUGUGCAUGCUUUUAUCCAACGAUCUGGUGGUGAGGAUAAGUCAUUGCUGGAUGAAUUGCUAUGCGAAUAGUCAGUCAGUUAGAUAAUUUGUGUUCUGUAGGUUGAGCAAAGAAGCAACUGCUGAUACCACAGCUAGGCAGGCAACACUGCCUCUGCCAUAACAACUGAUUGUAUUUUCGAUGCGUCCUUGUAUGUAUACUGAUUGUGUUUGGCUGCACCCGAGUGUUGACGAUGAGCACUCCUAGUUCUGCUGGUCUGCAUGUAGAUGCAUGCAUGGUGAUCGAUAUGGUAGUGUAGAUGCAUCAGUGAUCUGUGAAGCAUCUUGGUCCACGUAGUAUGGCUGGUAUUGUGAUUGUGACCCUGGAGCCCUAUCCUGCUACGUGAGGUGUUGGUACUGUUGUGUUUAGUUUUGUGUCCUUGUUCCUGCAUUUGAAACAUCAGUACCUUGCAAUAUGUGUUGGCGUGGUAGCUGUUGAGUUCCUGCUGGUGGCACAUCGAUCCUAGCAUUAGGUUGGAGCUGGGGUCUUAUUGUGUGUUGUGUUUGUGAGCUCUUGGGUGUAACCUGUUUAUCACUUGCACACCAAUUUAAUUAAACUGAUGUGCACGUUAGGGCUUGGUGGAGACUGAUCCCUAGAGCGUUCCAGUCUUUGUGGCAGUGUGAUCGUCCUUGCGAUCUGUUCGUCAUUUGUAUUUUCGAUUAAAUUGGCAGUUUGUGCAUAUCUGCUGUCACUGCUUUGUGUAUUUACCAUAUUAACCGAAACCAGGAUUUGUUGCUGAGUCUUUUAUCAUUUCUUGCCUUCUAGGUAUACCACAAAAUUAUUAAAUUUUUUUGGAAUAAAUCAUCAAAUAAGUUAGGUUGAAGUUAAGUGCGAAGUGGGGGCUGGUUGGUAGCCUGCAAACCAGAAAACCCAAGCCUAGUUGCUAGAGAAGAAAAGCCUGCAUGGUCUAUUAAAUAUAGACUAAAAAAUACUCCCUCCAUCUCAAAUUGUAAGUCAUUCCAAGAAUCUUGGAGAGUCAAACUUUCCUAAGUUUGACCAAAUUUAUAUGAUAAAAUAAUAAUUAUUAUGAUACAAACUAAGUAUCAUUAGAUUCUUCCUUAAUUAUAUUUUCAUAGUAUACUCACUUUAUGUUACAAAUCUUUGUAUUUCUCUCUAUAAUUUUGGUCAAACGUGAAAAUACUUUGAUUCUUCAAGAUUUUUGGAACGACUUACAAUUUGGGAUGGAGGGAGUAACUAAUUACAUAGAUUGUGACUAUUUUAUAAGAAAAAUCUUUUAAGCCUAAUUAAUUCAUAAUUUGAUAAUGUGAUGCUAAUCAUGUGCUAACGACAGAUUAAUUAGGCUUCAUAAAUUUGUUUUGUGGAGUAUUGUGGUCUUCUGUAAUUUAUUUUAUUAUUACUAUCCAAAUACUCAAUGUGACACUCUAUGUGACAGUCGAUGUGACACCUAAAACUUUGCACUCUGGGUAUAAACAAGACCAAAAUAUAGGCAUCAUUUUCAAUCUGACCGCUGACUGUCCCCAACAAUGCAACCUAUACCCAAAAUAGGCCCUCAACAAUGCUUUACCUACUCAGAAACGCCUCCCAACAAAUGACCUAUUUUGCGUUCCGAAUGACCACAAGGCGGGGUGGGAGGCGAGCAGCAGUGCUUGAUGGGGACGUAGGCGGGCGACGCUCGACGGGGAUGGAUGCAGGCGGAUGUGAGUUCCUCCUCGCCUGUGGCCGCCGAAUCCAGUAUGCUCCUCGCCUGCGACCGCUGGAUCCAGGAGGGAGAGGCGCCAUGCUCGGCGGGGAGGAGCAGCGCCAGGGUAGGGAGGCAGAGGAGGGGCGGCGCCGGGUAGGGAGAGAGGAGGGGCAACGCUCGUGCGGGGAGAGAGAGAAGGAGGGGCGGUGCUCAGCAGGAAUUUGGGUUCCCUGUUGGAGGAGGGUCAUUUUGAGUGCUUUGCUUGUUCACUGUUCAUGACCCAAAAGGCAGAAAUGGGUCUCGGUUUGAGUGGGCUCCGUUGGAGAUAGGAAAAUAGCGUUGCUUACCAUAUGCAUUGAGUACCAUCUAGCUCGAUCUCCAAUGGACACUGCCACAUUGAUGUGAAUGUUUUGAUGCAUGGCGUGGCGGAACUUUAUGUUGACCGUUAUUGGUGGCUGUCCCUGCAGUUGCGAACUAGGAAAUAAUAUGUCAGUACUCUUGUUGUAAAGUUCCUUUGGUGGCCGGUUUCCACCUGAGAAUGUUAUUUUCCUGGCUGCAAAUAGUGGGAACCUCCAAAAUAGCAUUUGUCGCGUCGUGGCUGAAAGUGUUUGCGAGAAGAUCUCUAUAUUCCGGUUUUGAGUGUUGCUGUGCCAAAGGUCAGCAACCAAUUUGGGCAAUGGGUUUUGUAGGAUUAGGAUUGGAAGGUUGAGAUGGUCAUGUAUAUUUGACCAAAAAUGACACCAUGGUUGGGACCAGAUGCAAGUGUUUCCUUUGUGGAUUUGGUUAUGCAAUUGCCACUGAGGAUGUCUUUGCGUGGGUGACCAGAAUAUCGAUUUUGGUUCCUGAUGCUUUGCCUUCUAGAAGAUUUGUUCGCAUAAUAUUUGGUUUUAAGGAUAUCAUUAAGAAACUUGGAUUUUUUUUUUGUGUGUGUGGCAAUAUUCCAAGAAGCAUGUAGGAUGAGGCUUUUGUUUAUGCCGUGCAGGUCUCUGAUACCCAGAUCACUAUUUUUUUGGCUCACAGAUGCCGUCCCCAGAGCAGAAAGCUUUAGGGGAGCUAGGAUAGUGAUCUUGGAUACCUGCCGAUGAGAAAUGUCCGAUGCUAAAGUUGAUUUUCUCGACAGAGGAUUUAAAGAAAAGAACGGUGGACAUACAGUAGACGGGUAUUGAGACUAGGAUAGAUUGGAUAAAAAGAGUUGGCGAGAGUUACAGUUGCAAGCGAGUAACUAAAGUAGUAAUUCUUAUAUAUAUACAAUGCCAUUAAUUUAGCCUAUAUUAGAUCUUACGCAUCACAAUCCAAACCAACAUAAAUAUGCACAAUAUGUUGUGUUUGAUUAUCUUGUACAUGCAAAAAUAAAGUAGAAAACUGCUACGGCCUGCGUGCAGGCACACAACUCCACCCGCACACCUUCUCUUUCCCGCGUGCAUUCCCUUUUUCCUCGUGUGCUCCCUUGCAGCCUUAUCAUUCUACUGGCUCUGAUGACGUCUAUGUCACAUCCGCUGCUGCCCUCGACCCCCUCUAGAUCUGACAUUUUCCCCUUAUUCUUUAGUGGGUGCCCACUGCCCCGCCGCCUCGCCGUGGCGCGGUAGGGUCUUGUUGGAGCUUUGGGGCAGACUCCUUCUCCCCCACCCUCCAGCUGCUACCAUGGCCAUGGGCGCCUCCGUCCCGACUUUUCCCGGCUGCCUCCUAUGCCGCCGAAACCCUAAUUACCCCCUCCUCCUGUCAUCCCUACCGUCUAGCUGACCUGCCUUCCCGAGCCCCUUCUAAACCUGUCGGAGUUGAGGAAGAAGAGAGGGAGAGUCGAAGAGAGAGAGCACUGAACCCACCACUGCCCAAACCCUAGUUGUUGUCGUCUUCUUCUUUGUCAUCGCAAGCAUGGUCAGAUGUGGAUAAGUGGGAGCGGUCCGAUUGUGAAUGGACGAUGGAUCAGCAUGUGCAGGAUGUUGAAUGAAAUCCUGCACGCUCAGAAAGAAGCAUUCCCAAAUAAAGUAAGAUUUGUUUUUGUUCAUCUACUGUUCGGUUAAACUAUAGAGGCGAAAUUUUUUUUUUAUGAACCCCAUCAAUUUGUGCAAGUCUACAUGUUUUUGUUCAUCUACAUUACCUAAUACAAUCAAAUCUAGUUUACUAGCUAAUGCAGCAUUAGAUUUGCUUUA
rnacentral:lncRNA from 1 species